UUUUUAAUGGAGACCUAUGUAAUGUGGCUAGAAAGGCAGAUGUUUGGGCUCAGCUGAAGAUCUCCACACUAUCAUCAUUAAUUCCCAGGAAAGGAGGUUUCCUGUUCUGUAGCCCUAGCCUCUCUGACCUUCCUAAUGCCCUGGACCUCUACCUUGCAGCUUGACAAUGGAAUCACGGUUAGACCUUAUGCUGGUGAUUGAGAGAUAUUUGUGCCACCUCAUGGAAAAAUCCAGAACUGCAGCUUGAACACAGAUGGCAGUAAAGAGGAGGAACACUGAUUCCAGACCUUUUCUGACUCCAGCCAGACCUGAUAUAAGCCCCCUCUGGUACAAGUUAAAAUGGCCACAAGCCUGGAUCCAUGCUGAAAAUAUAAGGAGAUAAACACAAGGAAACCUGAAAUCAACCCUAACAGCAGAAAGUGUCUGCACACAUUUGCUGCAACACUGCCACCAGCCAUUCCAGCUACUCAAGCUCUCAGGAUAUUAGUUCUAAAACAGAAGUAGACAAGGAAUUCGUGUUCCUGAGGGCUAGAACUAGUUCAAGAUAAGGCAAUUAGACUCUGAACCUGCAACAUUCCAAUGUCUGCACAGUACUGCAAUCCUAGUCAGACAGUCCGUCUCUGCAAACACAGCUUCUUCAGAAGUCUUCACACACAAACCCUGGACAUUUUAAACAUUUCCAACUUCCUCGAAAGAUAGUUAAAAAUAACUGUCUUCAGACACACCAAAAGAGGGCACCGGAUCC